rnacentral:misc_RNA from 1 species
GAACAGCACGCAGGCAGCCCAGGAGAACACAUGGCAGGGGCCUGGGGGUAAGCCGCCGCUCAGCAACACCCACCUUAGACCAGGCCCACCCUCCCUAGCCUCAGGCUCCGCCCCCUCCUCGGCCCGGCCCGCCCACUGAGCGGUGGGGGACGCACAGCACCUCCUGUCCUCCCCGCCUCCUGCCGCGGACCGGAAGUCCGGGCUUCCCACAGUACCCCGCGCGCGGCGGGCAUGAUAACAAGCCCCCGGAGUUCCCACGCUGGUAGUGUGGCAGUCCAUAGGCACCGUAUUGCGUGAGACGAACCGGACGGCGCCGGGCCAUCAUUCGUCGGCCCGAGCGAUGGCGCUGUUCCGGGGAAUGUGGAGCGUGCUAAAAGCACUGGGGCGCACGGGGGUCGAGAUGUGCGCGGGCUGCGGGGGUCGCAUCCCCUCGUCUAUCAGUCUUGUCUGUAUUCCGAAGUGUUUUUCCAGCAUGGGUAGCUAU